rnacentral:rRNA from 1 species
GGGCCCGCACAAGUGGUGGAGCAUGUGGUUUAAUUCGAUGCAACGCGAAGAACCUUACCAACCCUUGAAAUCUAGCGAAGUUCACAGAGAUGAGAAUGUGCCUUCGGGAACGCUAUGACAGGUGUUGCAUGGCUGUCGUCAGCUCGUGUCGUGAGAUGUAUGGUUAAGUCCAGUAACGAGCGCAACCCCUAUCCUUAUUUGCCAGCGCGUUAAGGCGGGAACUAUAGGGAGACUGCCGGGUGAAACCCGGAGGAAGGCGGGGACGAGGUCAAGUCAUCAUGGCCCUUAUGGGUUGGGCUACACACGUGCUACAAUGGGAAGUACAGAGGGAUGCGAAAGCGCGAGCUGGAGCCAAACCCUUAAAGUAUCUCAGUUCGGAUUGCACUCUGCAACUCGAGUGCAUG